GCAAAAAAACUUGUACUCCAGCUACACUGAAUGUUAAACUAGUUGCUCAACCUGUUUGCAGUGUGAAAUGCAACCAGUCUGUUGGUAAAGAGGGAGGAGGCAAAAGUGAGAAGAGACAUUGGCAGAAAUCAAGUGUCAGCCUGCACCUUUUGUCUUGGUGGUUGUCUGUUUUUCUGGGGACGUUAAAUCUGUGUGGCAAGUUAGUGAACUGAAGAAAUCAGGAAAUAAAGUGGACUAUAUACACGGGAAGCCUUUCUGCAUUACAGCAGCCCAAACAGCACCAAUGCGGUUUCAUUGGAUUGUGUUAAUUUUAUCCACCUUGGUGUCCUUGGGACUGCUGUUGAUUACUGUUGGCCAAUAUGAAGUGAUCAUAAUGCUAAACAAGGGGAUUGAAAAUCUGCAAAUACGUUCAGUGGGUCUCGAUAAUCAAUAUAUCAAUGAAGAGUUGUUUAAAGGGACGAUGGAAAAGCUGCUGGUUCAGGGGACAAACGUCGUGGCGGGUCUGCAGGUCACAGUGUCGACACUUAAUCAAGAGACUGAACAGAAGAAAAAAGAAGUUGACAUCUGUCAAGCAGAAAAGGAAAAAAUUGUUGAGGAGCUGGCAGCAAGCACAGGGAAGGAAAACAGUGAGAUUAAAGCUGCCUUAAAAUCAGAGUCUGAUGCCUGGACCCAAGAGAUUAAUAAUCUAAGAGCACAACUGAAGGGGUAUAGACCGAUAUGUGAUCAUAUGAAGAACGAAUCACUCGCUCUGAAAAUGUGUGGCAACAAAACAACUUCCUGAAGACGGCACAGAGAUCAAAUCUGAGACCAGCUGACCACUCCACAGACUGUUUUAGAUUUUUGAUGUUCUUGGUGUUGUUCCUGUUACUGCUGUAUAAAGUGUUAUUGAUAUGCUGUUGAGCUACACUGAUAAGACAACUGGGUUUUUACUGAAAUGUGUUGAUGUUCUCGGGGGAUCGUUUACCAUGGAACGUCUGGCACUUGUUUCCCUAUAUAUCUGGGCUUUUUAUCUUUCAGAGGGCAUAUUUUGCCUUUAGACAAAUGACGGGAAAGAGACCAGUUGUUGAUGAGCAACAAAGGUCCUCUGUCUAAUGCAAUUACAUGGUGCUCCUUGGCACAGCUCAACCUGCCUUAUCUAGUUUCUUGCUGUACAACAUGCCAAUGUAUUUGAAUGGAAACACUCUCAUUGUGGCAUUGGCUUAUUUUUAGUAUUUCAUGAAGGCACUAUAAAGCACAUAUGCUAAUGUCUUAUCAAUAAAUGUAUAUUGCACUGUGAAAACCAAGUAUCUCAACCAACGUCAACUUUUCAUGAGCAAAGAGAAACAACUGGUUUCAGACUUUAUUUGUAUAGCACCUUUCAUACAAGUCAAUUGCAAUUCAAAAUGAUUUAUAUGUGAC